rnacentral:rRNA from 1 species
GCCUCUUGAAUAUUAAUAAGAGGUCCAGCCUGCCCAGUGACCAUGUUCAACGGCCGCGGUAUCCUAACCGUGCGAAGGUAGCGUAAUCACUUGUUCUUUAAAUGAGGACUAGUAUGAAUGGCACCACGAAGGUUAUACUGUCUCCUUUUUCUAAUCAGUGAAACUAAUCUCCCCGUGAAGAAGCGGGGAUAAACUUAUAAGACGAGAAGACCCUAUGGAGCUUUAAACAAUAUAGCACCUGCCCUACAACAUAAAAAUUUCCGAGCCCCUAAAUUCCGCUGGCAUGCUGACUAUAAGUUUUUGGUUGGGGUGACCGAGGAGCACAAUAUAACCUCCAUGUUGAAGGAUAUAUAUUCUUAACUAAGACCCACCUGUCUAAGCAUCAACAUAUUGACAUCCAUUGACCCAAUAAAAUUGAACAACGAACCAAGUUACCCUAGGGAUAACAGCGCAAUCCACUUCAAGAGCUCCUAUCGACAAGUGGGUUUACGACCUCGAUGUUGGAUCAGGGUAUCCCAGUGGUGCAGCCGCUACUAAAGGUUCGUUUGUUCAACGAUUAAAAC